rnacentral:rRNA from 1 species
AAACUUCGCAAUGCGCGAAAGCGUGACGAGGUUACUCCGAGUGGUUCCCGCUGAGGGAAUCUUUUGUCGGCUUGGUAAGGGGCGGCGAAUAUGGGGAGGGCAAGUCUGGUGUCCGCCGCCGCGCGAAUACCCGCUCCUCCAGUGGGCGGGGCGAUUUUUGUGGCUCUAGCAUCCCUAGCCGGGUCUGUAGGUCCUCUGUUAAAUCCAACGGCUUAACCGUUGGCCCGCACAGGAUACCGCUGGACUAGUAGGCGGGAGAGGAACACGGUACUCUACGUGUAGGGGUAAAAUCCUUUGAUCCGUAGAAGACCACCCGUGGCGAAGGCGGUCUGCCAGAACGCGCUCGACGGUGAGGGAUGAAAGCUGGGGGAGCCAACCGGAUGAUUUACCCGGCUAGUCCCACCAACAAU